UACGUAGGGGGCAAGCGUUGUCCGGAAUCAUUGGGCGUAAAGAGCGUGUAGGCGGUCCUGUAAGUCCGCUGUGAAAGUCAAGGGCUCAACCCUUGAAUGCCGGUGGAUACUGCAGGACUAGAGUCCGGAAGAGGCGAGUGGAAUUCCUGGUGUAGCGGUGAAAUGCGCAGAUAUCAGGAGGAACACCGAUGGCGAAGGCAGCUCGCUGGGACGGUACUGACGCUGAGGAGCGAAAGCGUGGGGAGCGAACAGG
rnacentral:rRNA from 1 species